rnacentral:lncRNA from 1 species
GCCGGGGCUCCUCAGGGAGGCGGGACUGAUAGCCGCCUCAUCCGCGGUCCAAUCGGGGCCCAUCUGGGAAGGGCGAGCGUAAGGACCACAUGCGAUCUAGCCAGCAGGGCGUGCUCCUUCCAAACCCAGGACUCAGGGGAAAAAACGUCUUGGAAACAUUUGCAGGACCACAGAGCUUCUAGAGUCGAGGAGAGUGACAAACAUUUUGGCAAGUGAGAAGUGCGGCUGUGCUGGCAGCUGAUGAAGGUAGGCAGCCUGGUCUCCAACACAUCGUGGGACUUUGGGGGAGCAUCCUGACUGGUGGGGCUCCCCGGGGGAAAGUAAAGCAGGUGUCUGGCAGACCUCAAAGGCAUGGGGCCUCAAAGUGCUGAGGAAGGAACUGCAGGGUGGCAAACCGACUAGGGUCUGCAUAUCCUCACACUUGCUGAUGGCUGGUGACCAAGGGCAGCUGGAAGAAGCCCACCACGAGGGAGGGUGGGCCAGAUGGAGCCCAGGCAGGAGGUCAACGGGAGCAGUGAUGUCAGACAGGACAGAGGCUGUGCCCACUCCUCCCCCAGCUCUGGGCUGCCCCCUCCCUCCAGAGGACUCAAGAGAGAGCUGCAGGUCCCUACAGCCCAGUGGCUUCCUCUGGGCCCUCCGGAAGAAUCUGUUAUGAGAUGCAGAAAGCAUGUUCUGUAGGCUGGAGAGAGAAGAGCUCUGGGUGUCAGUGCUCCUGGGAUCAGCAGUGGAGUGUGACCAUGGGCUAGGGACCUUGCCUUAUUACAGGAGCAGUGGCAGCCAUCGACCACCCUCCACGGCCCUGGACAGUUGUGCCAGACGGUUAUAUUUAUCCCUGGAGGGCAGGAGCACUGGGGCAACCGUAAGAGUAACACAUGGCUACCCCCUGGCAGGUUUCUGCUGUGGAGGGGCAGCCUGGGAGCCAAGAGAGACGACAGCAAGGAGCGGAGGUGACCUGGUAGCACGGAAAAUGGGGUGGGGCAGGGGCCUCGGGAGGAGCAGCGGGAGGUUUUGGGACGACUGCCUGGUCUCGGGUGACCUGCACGCCAGCUCCGCUCCUGGCUCCCCAGGCAGGCUUGUCGGGGAGCACACAUGGGACGGUCCUUCUUCUCCAAACCCAGAGUGUGGGCUGUGGGUCUUCACUCUGACAGUCACAGCUCGGUGA